UACGGAGGGUGCGAGCGUUGUCCGGAAUCACUGGGCGUAAAGGGCGCGUAGGCGGCUUCUCAAGCGUGUGGUGAAAGUCCGGGGCUCAACCCCGGAUCGGCCGUGCGGACUGGGGAGCUCGAGUUCUGUAGAGGCGGGUGGAAUUCCGGGUGUAGCGGUGGAAUGCGUAGAGAUCCGGAAGAACACCAGUGGCGAAGGCGGCCUUCUGGACCAGCACUGACACUCAAGCACGAAAGCGUGGGGAGCAAACAGG
rnacentral:rRNA from 1 species